rnacentral:rRNA from 1 species
UACGAAGGGGGCUAGCGUUGCUCGGAAUCACUGGGCGUAAAGGGUGCGUAGGCGGGUCGGUCAGUCGGAUGUGAAAACCCGUGGCUCAACCACGGGCCUGCAUCCGAUACUGCCGGGCUAGAGGUAGGUAGGGGGAGAGUCGGAAUUCCUGGUGUAGCGGUGAAAUGCGCAGAUAUCAGGAGGAACACCGGUGGCGAAGGCGGGUCUCUGGGCCGAUACUGACGCUGAGGAGCGAAAGCAUGGGUAGCGAACAGG